rnacentral:lncRNA from 1 species
CUGCAACCCGAAACACACUAUUACCAACUGUUUGAAUAAAGAUCUCAAACCUGUUACUCUGAUGAACAUGUAAGGUCUCGGAGGAUGCUGAGAACAACUAAAUAAAAAUAGUAAAAGGCUCUGUUUACCUCUGUUGGGAAGUGGUGGUAUGUUUUCUGAGGGAAAAGAUAAAAGAAAGGAGGCAGAUGAGGAACGAUAUCUCGGUCAUGCGUGAUCCGGAAGGUGUUAGGCACAAGCAAACUAUAAUAAGAUGCAAAAGCCGCAUUCCCAAUACGAGGUUGCCCAAAUGUCAUGACCUGUACGUUUUCGUAGCCUUCAUUUACCUGCGAUUUACACCCCAAAAGAAGUCAUUAACAACUUCACAGGACAUGACAAUAAGAUAUAACGAAAUUUAGUUGAAGUAAAGGAUGAUUACAACUAGGUCUAGUCCACAAAAGGCAGCCAUGGCUCCUCCCAUUGAAUGGCCAGUCACCAUGAUCUUGAUGUUCUCUCCAUAGAAUUUCUUCGCUCGUUUUACUGCAUCCAAAACUGCAGGACGUACCGUUGUAUUGUGAUAAGCACUAUAGAAGCCAUGGUGAACCUGCCAAUGUAGAAUAACACUAAAUAACUCCGCCUUACUAAAUGGUAAUCUAGAUGACAAAAACUUGCUUGUUAAAGCUUACCAUUGCAUCUGGCAUAUCAGGGUAAUUUAGAUCGAGUUGUUUCCAGAACAAGUCUGAGACCCAGUUUUGUAUGCUGCACAUGUUUUGGGUUUGAUUAAGCAUCAACCAAGUUUAGAUAAAGGGUGUAGCUUCUAGACUACAAUGACGAGAAUGAUACCUGUGUUCUUGAGUUCCCCGAAAUGCAAUGACGAUAGCAUUCAAAUCCUUUGCUACCCCAACAUAUCCCUGUUGUCACAAGUUAAAAGAGCUGAUAUCAAUUACUUGUUCAAUGAAAGAACAUCAUAUCCUCAUACAGCUUAAGAUAUCAUGGCAGACCUGUAGGCAGUGCUCAAUGUCAACUAUUAUCUCUAUUACUUGGAAACCCUGCACCAUCCUCAAAGAACGUUAGAAUAUCCAAUCUUACAGCUACUAGAUUUAUGCAUACUGUGGCUUAAAAAAACAAAUGUAAUACCUUAGUCAAACCAUUGCAUCUUUCACAUGUCCAAGUGAAGAGUUCUGUCAAAUCAGACAUAUAGACCUGCAUACAUAAACAAACUUGAUUCACCCAUCUGGUGCACUUUAUCAGCAUAAACUCUCUUCUAUAGUAGUGCUAAUAACGAUAAAUGAAGUCGCAAGUGUUACACAUUCCUUUUUCAUCUAGCAGAAUAUUAGAGAUAAAUGGCAUUCAAAGAAAAACAGUUGUUAAAGGCCUUUUUGAUUAGUGUUAGUAAUUGCGCUAUCAACUCACCGCAGAAGUAUACUCAACAAGAGUUAAGGCAAGUGUAUGGUUGUAAACAGGUGAAUCAUCAUCAGUCUUCCACUUGAGAACUGCAACUAAAAGAGACAAGGUUACACCACAAAGUCACAAUUUUUGCAGUCUUAAAUAAAAAUGUCCCCUUUAAUGAACAACCCCUUCACUAGCUUAUUAUCUUAGUUAGGAAAGACACAAAAGAGAGAACUGAAAAAUGAAGUAGCCUCUAAAGGAAACAUACAAAUACAAAUAAUCAUUAUUACCUCGUCCACGCGAAAAGAAAAGAAGACAAGCAAAUAUUGCCAGCAAGAACACCCAUCUCUUAUGCUCCAUGUCCUGCAACAAUACAACAAGACACAACCCGCAUCAAUCUAUGGUUCAUCAACGGCGAAAUUGAGCUAAUCAAAGGAGGAUUUUGAAGCUAAAUUAAAGCUUAUGAAACGAGCUAAUCGAGGAUUAUUAUUAGAGCAAAAAGGCCCCAAGAGAACUCACCAACCAGACAAAAACUGAGGUUCAAAGCAAAGCGAAAGAAGCACGAAUGGAUAUAAAUACGGACACUAGUGAUCGGGGAUUAAAUCCUCUCCUCCUCGGCUGAGAAAUAAUUGCGAUUGCGAUUCGAAACGCCUCUGAAAAUACGAAUAUUCGUUUGUUUUUUCCUUAUUUUAAAUCUGAUUUCCAGUUUCGUCCUUUAUACGCAAAGAGGAAAGAGGCGACGCGUGUUAGAUAUCAUCAAGAGUCAAGGGUAUUUUCGGAACUACAGGGUCGAUGAUGAUUUUCUUUUUUUUUUCGGUUUUGAUUGCGUCUUUAUUUGGCAGUUAGGAGUUAGGACUGAGAUCUACUAAAACACUCUUUCUCAUCUAGCGGGUUUGCUAUUUCUUGCAUUUUGUCCAUAAAUUUGUAAGUGAUAACAUCAAAACUAUACAGUUUACCAGCCAAAUGUCAAUAUCCAUAUAUACAUUAUUACAUAUUUGGAUCCAAUAACAAUGUGAACAUAUGGAUUUAAACCUACGACUUAAUUAAAAAUUACAACUAUACAUUGUUACAUGCUAUUCAUCCUACGACUUAAUUUACAAAAGUCUUUUGUUAUUAUCCACACUUUCUUUCUAGACCCCACAAAGAAUCAACGACCCAUUCUUCUUUCUCCACAUAUGAGUCUCCCAAAACCUUCCCUUUCAAACUUUGCUUGACAAAGACUCUAUCCCACCGACGCCUCUAGACUUUAAAGACUACCAUUUUCGAGUAGAGCUUCUGUUUCGCUAACAGUCGUGGAAGGAAGUGUCCGUGACAUUACUAGGUUACCCUUUGAAUCUUUCCUGCUGAAUCUAUCCAUCUCAUGGCUCAUCACUAUUGUGCAUUGUCUCCACGUCUCACACCUUAGAUCUAUCCCAAAGUACUUUAAAUGGUCAGAGAUGCUAUUCCCCACCACCGAUCUGAAACGACAAGGAUUAACAAUUAUUAUACUGAGAUCAUCCGCAUUAAAAAUGUCUGGUGACUCAGCUAGAACAUGAAACAUAAGCCAUCUUGUAACGUUUCCUGACCAACAACAGUCAUCGAUCCGGUUGGUUGUGGUAGUUAAUAACAAUCCUAAGUUUCUACUUGCGGAAUGGACCUAUAGCAGCAAACUGUUUAGAGGGAUUGCUCGUUACCUGCUGCAUGUAGGAUCCUCACCAGUGUUGUCACAAACUUUCUCCACACUAGCAAGAACUAGACUCGAAAAACCGAGAUCUCUCACCCACACCUGCAAACCGAAACACACCAUCGGUUCUUCCAGACAGUCAAUAAACCAGACUGAGAAAUUAUAUUCUGAGACAUUUAAAAAACGCUUGCCUAGUCUAGAUUUUUUGCAUAAAGUAGAUUAAUACUAAAAAUGUUAUUCUGAUGAACACCUAGUGGACUGAGAAAACGACGUUACCUCUGUUGGGAAGUGGUGGUAUGUUUUCUGAGGGAAAAUAUGAUAGUAAGGAGGCAGGUGAAGAACCAUAUCAUGCUCAUGCGUGAUCCUGAAGGUGUUAGGCACAAGCAAACUGUAAUAUGAUGCAAAAGCCGCAUUCCCAACACGAGGUUGCCCAAAUGUCAUCACCUGUACGUUUUCUUCUCCUUCAUUUACCUGUGAUUGACAAGACAUUCCAAAUCAAAGUCAAGGAACAAUUUCAAAGGCCAUAACUAUAAGAUAUAAAAAUGUGGUUAGAGUUAAGUAUCAUUACAACUAGGUCUAGUCCACAAAAGGCAGCCAUGGCUCCUCCCAUUGAAUGACCGGUCACAAUGAUGUUGAUGUUCGCACCAUAGGAUAUCUUCGCUCGUUGUACUGCACCCAAAACUGCAGGGCGUAGAGUUGUAUUGUGAUAAGCACUAUAGAAGCCAUGGUGCACCUGCCAAUGCAGACAAGUAUUAGAAAUUCCAACUUACUACAUGACAUCUAGAUGACAAAACUUGACAUUAAAGCGUACCAUUGCAUCUGGCAUGUCAGGGUAAUUGAGAUCGAGCUGUUUCCAGAACAAAUCCGAG